rnacentral:tRNA from 1 species
GGUCCUAUAGCUCAGUGGAAGAGCGCUCCGUUCACACCGGAGAGGUCACUGGUUCGAACCCAGUUAGGACCACCG